rnacentral:rRNA from 1 species
GAUGAACGCUAGCUACAGGCUUAACACAUGCAAGUCGAGGGGUCUUUUGGAGCUUGCUUUAAAAGACGACCGGCGCACGGGUGAGUAACGCGUAUCCAACCUGCCCUUCAUAUUGGGAUAGCCUUCCGAAAGGAAGAUUAAUACCGAAUAACAUGAUUGAGUUGCCUGAUUUUAUCAUGAAAGCUCCGGCGAGGAAGGAUGGGGAUGCGUUCCAUUAGGUAGUAGGCGGGGUAACGGCCCACCUAGCCGACGAUGGUUAGGGGUUCUGAGAGGACGGUCCCCCACACUGGAACUGAGACACGGUCCAGACUCCUACGGGAGGCAGCAGUAAGGAAUAUUGGUCAAUGGGGGCAAGCCUGAACCAGCCAAGUAGCGUGAAGGAUGACUGCCCUAUGGGUUGUAAACUUCUUUUAUACGGGAACAAACCCCGGUACGUGUACCGGAUUGCGUGUACCGUAUGAAUAAGCAUCGGCUAACUCCGUGCCAGCAGCCGCAGUAACAC